rnacentral:lncRNA from 1 species
UCUCAUUCCUGAACUGCAAAUAAUCCUUUGCGAAGUUUCUGGUCCAAAAUUUGGUCCAGUAUUAUGUAACACAUGAUCAUGACAUGAAUCAAUGACAAAUACAUCUUUUCCAGUUGUCUAACUACAAAAAAUCAAGCAUGAUCACUUUCUCUACCGACCCUAUCACCAUUGUGUAUUGCACUUAAUGAAGCUAAUUAAUCUACUUAAUCUACUCUCAUAUUAAUUUAGGCAAGUAAACCUGUCCCUAAUCCCUUUCCUCUCGGGGCAUCAAAUGUCUGGACCAUUAGUUUUUUAGAUUUAGCUAUUUCUGACCGUUAGAUGUACAUGGCGCUCUGUUUCCUGUAAAAUCAUGACAACAAGGUGGGCUUGAUGUGUUGAGGGAAGCUAUUGCCGUACCUUUUUGGAGUACUAUGGUNNNNNNNNNNGUUUCUGAUCGUUAGAUGUACAUGGCGCUCUGUUUCCUGUAAAAUCAUGACCACAACGUGGGCCUGAUGUGUUGAGGGAAGCUAUUGCCGUACCUUUUUGGAGUACUAUGGUUAAUAGCGCCAACAUAGAAAGCAACUGUAUGGACCUUCAGGAUUGUGCCUUCAUGAGCCCAUUUCCUAUGUACAUACUGGGCAACCAAAGCCAUCGAGGCGAUGGUGGUUAGCGCAUCUAGCGGAUAGGAAAGCACAGCCAGGAGAGGCCGAACACCACAACGCGUCUCUCACUCGAAACUAACAUAUGAUUACGUUCAGCCAUCUGCAUAUGCUUUCUGGUGCCACUAUUUGCUUCCCGAGAUUAUCCAGGUGACAAGGAAAUCAGGUGGGCAGGAUAGUCUACCACACAUAUUCAAGUCACACCGGAAACUUCGAGGUUACAAU